rnacentral:rRNA from 1 species
AACGGAGGUGAGAGCCCUCGGGUGCAUCAUCGACCGAUGAUUUGAGUACGAGCUUGGCUGGUCGGACCCGAAAGAUGGUGAACUAUACGUGAAUAGGGUGAAGCCAGAGGAAACUCUGGUGGAGGCUCGCAGCGGUUCUGACGUGCAAAUCGAUCGUCAAAUUUGCGUAUAGGGGCGAAAGACUAAUCGAACCGUCUAGUAGCUGGUUCCUGUCGAAGUUUCCCUCAGGAUAGCAGCAACGGGGAACAGUCUCAUGAGGUAGAGCGAACGAUUAGAGGCCUUGGGGUUGUAAUAACCUUAACCUAUUCUCGAACUUCGAAUAUGUGAGAAGUCCUUGUUACUUAAUUGAA